AUUACGUUGGCCUUCGGGAUCGGAAGUAAUUGAAUUAACAGGGACAGUCGGAGGGCUAUUCGUAUUUCUAGUUCAGAGGUGAAAUUCUUGGAUUUAUGAAAGACGACAAACUGCGAAGCAUUUGCGCAAGGAUGUUUUCAUUAAUCAAGAAGAAAGUUGGGGGCUCGAAAGACGAUCAGAUACCAGUCCUAAGUCUCAACCUAAUAAACGAUGCCCGACCAGGGAUCAGCGGAUGUUGCUUUUAGGACUCCGCUGGCACCUUAUGAGAAAUCAAAGUUUUUGGGUUCCGGGGGGAGUAUGGUCGAAGCUGAAACUUAAAGGAAUUGACGGAAGGGCACCCCAGGAGUGGAGCUGCGGCUUAAUUUGACUCAACAUCAGGGGAACUUACCAGGUCCAGACAUAGUAGGAUUGACAGACUGAGAGCUCUUUCUUGAUUCUAUGGGGGUGGUGCAAUGGCCGUUCUUAGUUGGUGGAGCGAUUUGUCUGGUUAAUGUCCGUUAACGAACGAGACUCAGCCUGCUAACUAGCUAUGUGGAGGUAUCCCUGCCAUGGCCAGCUUCUUGAGGGACUAUGGCCUUUUAGGCCACGGAAGUUUGAGGCAAUAACAGGUCUGUGAUAGCCCCUUAGAUGUUCUGGGCCGCACGCGCGCUACACUGAUGUAUUCAAGCGAGAUAAAUAAUAGCUCUUGGCCGACAGGCCCGGAAAUCUUUGAAAUUUCAAAUCGUGAUGGGAUAGAUCAUUGCAUCAUUGUUGGUCUUUCAAACGAGGAUUCACUGUAAGGCGAGUCAUCAGGCUGCGUUGACUACGUCCCUGCCCUUUGUACACACCGCCCGUCGCUCCUACCGUGGAUUGAAUGGUCCGGUGAAGUGGUUAGGAUCGUGGCGACGUGGGGCGGUUCGCUGCCACCGACGUCGGCGAGAAUUCCACUGAAACGCUUAUCAUUUAGAGGAAGGAGAAGUCGUAACAAGGUUUCCGUAGGUGAACCUGGCGGAAUGGAUCAUUG
rnacentral:ncRNA from 1 species